rnacentral:rRNA from 1 species
UACGUAGGGUGCAAGCGUUGUCCGGAAUUAUUGGGCGUAAAGAGCUCGUAGGCGGUUUGUUGCGUCGGCUGUGAAAUCCCGAGGCUCAACCUCGGGUCUGCAGUCGAUACGAGCAAACUAGAGUGUUGCAGGGGAGACUGGAAUUCCUGGUGUAGCGGUGAAAUGCGCAGAUAUCAGGAAGAACACCCGUGGCGAAGGCGGCUCUCUGGGACGGUACUGACGCUGAGACGCGAAAGCGUGGGGAGCGAACAGG